AUUCAAUGAGUGAUGUAAAAAAAGUCUGAACAUAUGAAUUCAAUAUUGAAUUCAGCAUUUAACUUGUUAAAA